rnacentral:rRNA from 1 species
CCUACGGGAGGCAGCAGUGAGGAAUAUUGGUCAAUGGCCGGAAGGCUGAACCAGCCAAGUCGCGUGAGGGACGACUGCCCUAUGGGUUGUAAACCUCUUUUAUAAGGGAAGAAUAAAUGCUACGUGUAGCAUGAUGCCUGUACCUUAUGAAUAAGCAUCGGCGAACUCCGUGCCAGCAGCCGCGGUAAUACGGAGGCUGCGCGCGUUAUCCGGCGUUAUGGGGUUUAAAGGCUGCGCAGGCGGUUUUUUAAGUUAGCGGUUAAAAGUCGGGGCGUGAACUUGAUUUGCCAUUAAUACUGUAAGACUCGAGUUCAGACGAGGUAGGCGGAAGAAGUUAAGGAGCGGUGAAAUGCUUAGAUAUAACUUAGAACUCCGAUAGCGAAGGCAGCUUACCAGACUGCGACUGACGCUGAAGCACGAGAGCGGGGGUAGCGAACAGGAGUAGAUACCCGUGUAGUC